ACGGGCUUUAAAUUAGCGACAACAAUAACUUUGCGUUGCUGCAUUUGUUCCAAUGGAAUGUACUUAACUAAACCACUGCAAACAGUUCUUGGUCCCUCAGCAUCACCACAAUGUAUGGUAGAAACGUACAAACUGUCAGCAUUGGGAUGUUUGACUGCCUUCUCAAUAAAGCCAAUGCGGAAAUCAAUCAUGGAAGGGACAGGAGUAGCAGCUUUAGGAGGUUCCUUGGGAGCCUUCUCCUUUUUAUCUUUUUUAUCUUUUUUGUCUUUCUUUUCCUUCUUAUUUUGCUUCUCCUUUUUAGCACCUUCUAAACCUUUAGGAGCCUUCUCGACGGAUUUAACUGAGGCUUCCUGAGAAGGCUUUCCUUCCUUUUUCUCCUUCUUAUCCUUUUUAAUUACAGAAGGACGUUGAAUCUUAGGAGCAUUCAAAUCGAUGUUUGCCAACUUCAUCGACAUACUAUUAGCAGCUUCCAUAACACUUUCCUGAUGUUGAAUAAAAUCAAACCAUCUACAAACAUUGUUAAGCUUGUAUCCCUCCUUCGCAGAUAAUCCACAUAUGUAAGAAUGAAUACGAGCAUAUACAGCAAGAUCAGCAACACUUAUACCAGAAUCCUGAGCAAUGAAAGUAGAAGACUUUAAAAACUCAUCUAGCUGUUCAACGAUCGAUUGGGUUUCUAUGGGUGAAAAUGCCUUGGUAGUCCACUCCAAAAUUUGAGCCUUCUCGAAAUCAGUGUUUCCUAAAAGCUCGGGCUUCUGCUCAGACACAGCUUUGAACAAACUGCUCACUGGACCUUCUUUAGUUUCUGGGAUAGAAAUUUGUAAAUAUUUGGAAAUAAACUUCAGUUCCGUGGACAUUGUACCUGAAACUGUGGGUUGGUGGUGAGAAAAAGUUAACUUAGCAUAGAACUGUGGACUACGGAUAUUAUUCAAUGUCACCGUCUCAAAUCGAAGUAGAUAACUAAAUUUAUGAGUAAUGAAUAGUUUAUAUGGGUAUUUUAAUACGCAAAAUUCUUUUGCCCAGAGAAAACUCAUUCUGCGGUAGAAGUACAGAUGAAAAGAUAUGCAAUUCGAAUAAACGAAAACGUUAAGUUGUAUGGUUC